CAGCAUCGAGGACAUCACCGCGCCCUCCUUCUGUCUCACCAAGAUGAGUUCACCAGUGGAUAGUUUCUCGGCGCCGGGAGUGGAAAGCUCAGCUGUGCAUGGAACUCAACAUGACAAGUCAUCCACUCCACAAGGUACAGAUGGCAUCGAGGCUGAGACGACCCAAGGAGGUUGAUGAUCAAUCCAUCCUAACUGAAGCCUGAAACAUGAUUGUAUGAUGUUGCUGCUGCUGCUUGGUUGCGACGAGAAGGCCGAGGACCCGGCGUGCUACACUACUACCUGAUGUUAUUUACAUUUAUCCAUGGCUGCUACAAUACUACUUCCUAGUUCCUACUGCUAGCUUGUUGGCACACAACUACUCAACCUGAACCUUGUAUUUGUGCUGUUGCUGACCCUUGUAUUUCUGCUGCUAUUUGUGCACCUGAACCUUGUAUCUCUGCUCCUGAACCCUGUAUUUGUGCUU